rnacentral:rRNA from 1 species
ACCGGAGCUUGCUCCACCGGGAAAAGAGGAGUGGCGAACGGGUGAGUAACACGUGGGUAACCUGCCCAUCAGAAGGGGAUAACACUUGGAAACAGGUGCUAAUACCGUAUAACAAUCGAAACCGCAUGGUUUCGUUUUGAAAGGCGCUUUACGGUGCCGCUGAUGGAUGGACCCGCGGUGCAUUAGCUAGUUGGUGAGGUAACGGCUCACCAAGGCCACGAUGCAUAGCCGACCUGAGAGGGUGAUCGGCCACAUUGGGACUGAGACACGGCCCAAACUCCUACGGGAGGCAGCAGUAGGGAAUCUUCGGCAAUGGACGAAAGUCUGACCGAGCAACGCCGCGUGAGUGAAGAAGGUUUUCGGAUCGUAAAACUCUGUUGUUAGAGAAGAACAAGGGUGAGAGUAACUGUUCACCCCUUGACGGUAUCUAACCAGAAAGCCACGGCUAACUACGUGCCAGCAGCCGCGGUAAUACGUAGGUGGCAAGCGUUGUCCGGAUUUAUUGGGCGUAAAGCGAGCGCAGGCGGUUUCUUAAGUCUGAUGUGAAAGCCCCCGGCUCAACCGGGGAGGGUCAUUGGAAACUGGGAGACUUGAGUGCAGAAGAGGAGAGUGGAAUUCCAUGUGUAGCGGUGAAAUGCGUAGAUAUAUGGAGGAACACCAGUGGCGAAGGCGGCUCUCUGGUCUGUAACUGACGCUGAGGCUCGAAAGCGUGGGGAGCAAACAGGAUUAGAUACCCUGGUAGUCCACGCCGUAAACGAUGAGUGCUAAGUGUUGGAGGGUUUCCGCCCUUCAGUGCUGCAGCUAACGCAUUAAGCACUCCGCCUGGGGAGUACGACCGCAAGGUUGAAACUCAAAGGAAUUGACGGGGGCCCGCACAAGCGGUGGAGCAUGUGGUUUAAUUCGAAGCAACGCGAAGAACCUUACCAGGUCUUGACAUCCUUUGACCACUCUAGAGAUAGAGCUUCCCCUUCGGGGGCAAAGUGACAGGUGGUGCAUGGUUGUCGUCAGCUCGUGUC